GGAAUAUUGGUCAAUGGGCGCAAGCCUGAACCAGCCAUGCCGCGUGCAGGAUGACGGUCCUAUGGAUUGUAAACUGCUUUUGUACGAGAAGAAACAACUCUACGUGUAGAGUCUUGACGGUAUCGUAAGAAUAAGGAUCGGCUAACUCCGUGCCAGCAGCCGCGGUAAUACGGAGGAUCCAAGCGUUAUCCGGAAUCAUUGGGUUUAAAGGGUCCGUAGGCGGUUUAGUAAGUCAGUGGUGAAAGCCCAUCGCUCAACGGUGGAACGGCCAUUGAUACUGCUAAACUUGAAUUAUUAGGAAGUAACUAGAAUAUGUAGUGUAGCGGUGAAAUGCUUAGAGAUUACAUGGAAUACCAAUUGCGAAGGCAGGUUACUACUAAUGGAUUGACGCUGAUGGACGAAAGCGUGGGUAGCGAACAGGAUUAGAUACCCUGG
rnacentral:rRNA from 1 species